AGAGUUUGAUCCUGGCUCAGGACGAACGCUGGCGGCGUGCUUAACACAUGCAAGUCGAACGGAAAGGCCUCUUGCUUGCAAGGGGUACUCGAGUGGCGAACGGGUGAGUAACACGUGGGUGAUCUGCCUUGCACUCUGGGAUAAGCUUGGGAAACUGGGUCUAAUACCGGAUAUGAACUGCCUUUAGUGUGGUGGUUGGAAAGUUUUUUCGGUGCAAGAUGAGCUCGCGGCCUAUCAGCUUGUUGGUGGGGUAAUGGCCUACCAAGGCGUCGACGGGUAGCCGGCCUGAGAGGGUGUACGGCCACAUUGGGACUGAGAUACGGCCCAGACUCCUACGGGAGGCGGCAGUGGGGAAUAUUGCACAAUGGGCGGAAGCCUGAUGCAGCGACGCCGCGUGGGGGAUGACGGCCUUCGGGUUGUAAACUCCUUUCGACAGGGACGAAGCUUUUUGUGACGGUACCUGUAUAAGAAGCACCGGCUAACUACGUG
rnacentral:rRNA from 1 species